rnacentral:lncRNA from 1 species
GAUUCAAAGAGCGGUGCCUCUUCGAUUUUUUGAGAAACCAAUCCUGUUGGGAGUCCGACUCUUGAGAUUUGGACAGCAGUGUCUCUUCGAUUUUUGAGAACGUAAUUCUGUUGGGAGUCUGGCUCUCGAGAUUCGGAGGGUGGUGGCUCUUCGAUUUUUGUGUUGGAGAUAUGCCCUGAAAGUCAAUCUUUGGAAGAAACCUUUCAGGACAAUGUCUAUAUGUAUGGAAAACUCUAAUACAUCAAAAGGCAAAGUCACUAAUUAGGACUAUCUUAAUAAACGAUAUACGUCCUAAAAAGUGAAUCCAUGGACAAUGGAUCGAUGGAAGAAGUAAUCUAAUGAUGUUAGACUGCAGAGAUCUUCUUCAUAUAACCAUGAUGUCCAAAAAGGUUCUUAGUCAUAGGAUUGUCGGAGGGACACUGACAAUACAUAGACCAGUACAUACUAUGUCCCCUUCCAAUGGGAAGGAUGGAAAGUCUCAUGCCAUUUGUGUAGUGACACUAAGACAAGUAUGUAGGUGCUCAUUAUGGGAAUGAGUUCACUGAACACAAUCAAAUGAGAGUACUUGCAUGGAGGUCUACUCACAUGUCAAGCAACUCUACUGGUUGGAAUAAUGUAAGUAAUCCUUUAACCUGAGACAUCAUAGUUGUCUUGGGGAUACGUUGCUGAUCAUUUGAUAAUGAGACGUGACCACAUCUCAUCUUGGAUGUGUUCUAUGCAUUGUUGGGGUCAGUGAUUUAUUCUCAGAGGCAUGUGAAUGAUCAACAAGGGAUCUCUAAUCCUCGUUAUGAGAGGAUGAAUACUCUAAGAUAUGAUUCAGGAAUCUUCGGCCGAAGUAUCGAGCGUAAUGAUGGAAAGCGUUCCUAUACGACUCAAUAGAAUCAUAUAACUUGAUAUAAUCACAUUAGGGGUUUGACAUUAAAUAUCCAUACCCUAGUAAUGUGAUUGUGAGUAUUGUAUUAGAGAAGGAUCGAAUUACAUUGAAAUUCCAACUGAAUAGGUUCUCCGAACAAAUUCUACAUUAACUUGGGUAGCCACGAUAUAUGGUUAGAUGUCACUCAUGGCUUGUGAGUUCUUCUAGAUGAUUAAAUAAGUAUUCAUCAAAGAAGAAGGAGAAUUAAAAGUAAGUUUUAAUUCACUAAGUGAUUGGAUAAAUAAUAAUCAAUUGGAUUGAUACCAAUCACCUCACUGCCUUGCUAAUUAAAACCUAAAAUGAUUGUACACCGAAACACUCUUGUGGUGAGACAACUAAAGGAUGAUGGAAUUAAUUAAUUGGAUUAAUUAAGUGUUAUGAUUAAUUAGAAAGUCUAAAGAAAUCAUAUAAACGAUAAAAGAUCGUUUAGGACUUAAAGAAAAGUUCUGGUUCAUUCGGGCCCAUUGGGCCCAAACGAAUUGGGUCCUUUUAUUCAAGCAUAGAAUGACUUGAGAUGAUGAAAGCCCAAAGUCCAAACCCACACUAAGAGGGCCGGCCAAUACUAGUGAAAGGAGGGAGAGGGAGUCAAGUGGUUGACUCACUUCUUUGACAUUUAUAAAGAAAGUUUAGUGAAAAAGUUUUAUUAGGGUUUUUUGUGUGUUCUUUUCAACUAGAGAAAACAAAAGUCUCUCUCUCUCUACACACUACAUAGCCGGCCACCAUAAGGGAGAAAUAGCUAAUCAUCUUUUCUCCUUUUUGGUUAUUCCAACAUCCAUCUCACUACACUAGUGGGUGUGGAUCUUUAGAGGUCUUCUACUUUGGAGACUAGAGGAGAAUCAAAGGAGCUCUAAAUCUAUCAAGGUGGAGGAAGCAAGGAGGGAGGCUAGACUCAAGGAGUUCCAAGAACAAAGAACUUGGAGGUGGUCCAUCCUUGGUCUCAAGUCUAGAUCAAGAGGUAUAAAACUAUACCUUCACUUUGUUCUUCAAUAUUUUCUUAGAUGCAUCAUAUAUGAACCUAUGCUUCUUGAAGGGGAUUUGCAUGACUAUAGCUUUGAUAUUAUGUGAUUACAUGCUUCCGUUGCAAAUGUAUAUAAAUUUUGAAUUGUAUAUGCAUGCUAGUCACUAGAAAUCCCACAUAAAUCUCAUUAUUUCCCUUCAAGUGGUAUCGAGAGCCAAAGGUUUAUAUUUGAUGUGUCCUUUUGGAUUUUAUGCAUAUGGGUUUGAAUUUUAUGUUUGACAUAUUAUUUCUUCAUUCAAAAUAUGUUUAUCUUUUGUUUUUCAAAGGUUGAAAAAUGUGUUUCAAGAGUUGAAAAAGAUAUGUAUGCAAAAAGUGUUUUGGAUGCAUGAAUGAAGAGUGAGUUUUUGAACAAAAUUUGGGGCUUAUGUACCAUAGGGGAGGGCACGGUUUUGGGGGGAUUUUUGGGCUAGUGUUUGUGUUUUAUUUUAAGUCACACACACACACUUUAAAGCUAGAAAGUAGAGGCCUUGUCCCUUUUGUUUUUUGGUUUGAAAAAUCACCAAGAAAGUACAAAUCUUGAAAUUGUUUUCAUGGUUUUGUUCUUGGUGUUCAUGGUUUUGAUCAAUGCUCUAAAAAUCGGUCUAGGCGGCCGCCUAGGCGCUGGGCGGUGGCUAGCCGCCGGGAUUUAACCAAAAUCGGAAGAAAAAUCGGGAAAAGAAUUAGGCCGUCGUUGGUCGGCCUAGGCAGGUAUCUGGGCGGCCUAGGAGGGCGCUAGGCUGCCCGCGGGCGGCUGGGCGGUACCUGAAACUCUCCAGCUCUGUCGCAAAUCACUGUCUUUGCACGGCAACAUCGCCGACGUCCAAACACAUGGAUGACUAAUUGAAUAUAUCAAAGAGCCUUUUAGCAGAUCGGAGAACCUGAUCCAAAAAUAAGAAAUUGGAAGAAGAGAUUUGACAUUUAUAAGGAGGAGGUCGUGUCGGUGUUGCUUCGUCUUCUUGCUUCGACUUCGUGAAGAGGUCGAAGUCUGAAGGCUUUCCCUUUCUUCCUGUUAAAUGUUCAUUGGUUUUCUAACUUUUCUUUACUUUAGUUUAAAUCUAUUUUCUAAAUAUUAAUAUAAUAUUCAUACUUGGUUAUUGUGGCAGUGGAAUCGAGAGUGUGGUGUUAAAUAUGUUUAUCCAUUUUCAAGGGUUAACGUUUAAGUAUUAGUUAUUAUCUUAUGUUAAUAUGUAUUUUACAUCUUGUAUUUUGCUUUUUUUUUAGUUAUUGUCCAUUUAAGUUAUGUUAUUUGGUAUUUUAAUUAAUAAAGAGAUGAUGUAUUAGUCAACUAAAUAUGGAUACAAUGAAAUCGAUGAAAUACGUUGAUGAGGCCACAAUAUAACAAGUUGAAUGCACAUCUUGAAGGUUGGGAGGAUUACCUAAAUCCACCUAGUGAUAUACAAGAUAUACAAAAUAUGGCACAUCUUUAGAAAGUUGUUAUAUCAUUUAACACGUGUAUAGUGAUGCCAUAUUGAACUUGUUAUAUCAUUUAACACAUUGUUUUGACAUUUGGAUACAUGAUAUACAAGUUCAAUGCAGUGUUAAUAUGCACUUAUUUACAAGAUAUACAAGAAGUUUACUUAAAUCGGCCCAGGCCGCCUAGACGCCCGCCUAGACCCCACCUAGCCGCCUAGGCGCUAGGCGCCAGCCCACCGCCCGACUAGCGCCUAGCGUUUUUUAGAACCUUGGUUUUGAUUUUGGUGUAAAAGGUUUUGUUUUAGUGUUCAUACUUUGUUGUUUGAAUUUGGAUGGUAAACUUGCCAUCAAUAGCUUUUCCUUGAUUGACUCAAUCCUAGACUUGACUAGGAGACCUUACACCCAUCAUACCUUUUUAAGCCAACUUGCACAAGUGAUGACAAGGAAAAGCUAGGGUUUUUGCUUUAUUUUGAAACUAAGGGAACAAGAUAGGACCUCUCCCUCUCCCCAUCACAUAACCGGCCACCCUAUUAAUGGAUCCUCUAUGGGCUAUUUUGUAAUUUAAAAAGUUGAUUAUACUUUCUAGUAUUUACGGUUUGACCCAUAACUUUUUAUAAUUGCAUUUUGGCCCCACCUCUUUAUGAGAUUAAAAUAUUAUGAUUUUAAUUUUGUUUGUAGCUUAAACUCAUCAUAUAAUUAUGCCCAUAUGUACUAAAUCUAAUUGAUUAUGUUGCAUUCCAAUUUAAUUAUUUAAUGUGAUUAAGUAGUUAGUAAAAUGGUUGACUAUGGACGUGUGCCUUAAAGGAUAAUUGAGCUAUGAGAAAGGCCGCUAAAUUCAAAUGGUUUGAACCUUGGGAAUGUGUUUUAAUUGCUAUUUUAAUUGGACCUCAACAUGUUAGACAUUAAUCUUUCUCUCCCUCUUAGUAUAUGUAAUUUGUACAAAUCGGUUUGUAAUUCUUUUUACUUCUUUAUCUCUUUCAAUUAGUUGAUUCCCUCUAGUACUAGACUAGAGUUUCUUUAACUAUUGGUAAGGAAACAUAUUAAAAGGGGUUUUCAUGAGAUUAAAGAUUUGUUGGGUCCAACGCCCUAAUUAGCAAUGAAUGAUUAUCCUUCGUUUCUAAUGGCUUAAUGAAAAAUGUUUUAAUUGGAUUGAAAGCGCGUAAUUAAAACGAUACAUUCCUCCCUAGAUCUUAUUCAACAAUGUUGGCUCGUUGUUGAAUCAACCUAAUACGUCCAUAGUCAUCCAAAGAGCCUAAGAUAACUAUAAAGUCCAAAUUUGAAGGAAUGCAAAAAACUUAGUAGUAGUAGUUACUUCCAAUAUUUGAAAAAUUCAAUUUUUGAUAUUGAUUUGUUUUUCUCAAAACAAAUAGUGGGAGUAUCAUACGCUACUAAACUAAAAUGAACACAAUUAGUAGUGAUAUAUAUCUCCAAUAUUUUGAAAAAUUGUUUUGAUAUUGAUUUGUUUUACGAAAACAAAUAGUGGAGAUAUCAUAUACUACUAAUUUCAUUUACUUUGGACUAGUAGUUGUAAUAGGACACAAUUUAUUAUAAUUUGAUUAAAUAAAUAAAAUGAUGAGACCUUAAAAUCCCUCAACCAACAUCCAAUAUUAAGUUGAAAGCGGAGAGGUGCUUUUUAAACACUUCUUCGUGGCCUUCCACCAUGGUAGGCUCCAAUCGUUUAUGACGCAUACACCGCCUUCACCCUAUCAUGGGGGAGUUCAAAGUAUGUGCUUAUACUCAGGAGGAGUCUAUUUCAAACAUUUGAUGUGGUGAAGGUAGGCAACGAGUAUGGCCGACAUCGUAUCAUCGUGAGGUCAUACUUGGACCCCUAUCCGAACCGGCAUGGUGGGUCAAAACUUAACUAAGAGAAAUGGUGCCAACAUCAUAUCAUUGUGAAGCAUUGUUCCCUAGAGGCCAAUUAGAUGGGUAAUCAAAAGAGGUUGUUGUGAAUGGGUAGCCAUACCCUCUCAUUAUUAUUUUUGCUAGCCGACAUCGUAUCAUCGUGAGGUGGGCUUGGUAAUAGUGAGCCUCCCAUAACCCGCUAGGAGCUUUCAUUGAAAUCUCCGGAUUCCAUCUUGAGGGAUAUGGAAUUUGCCAAAAUUAGUGGGUGGUGUCAUUCAGUUUCAAGACCCGAAUCGUUUGACUUAAUCAACAAUCAAACUAAUUUAUUUUAUUGUUAUGUAUUUAGAUAUGGUUGGAAGCACACUUGCAAAGAUACUCGACAAGCAUUGCCUUGAGGGGCACAAUUUCCCAUCUUGGUAUCGUAAUGUCAAGAUUCUCCUAACCUUGGAGAAAAUUGUUUACGUACUAGACAAGGCUGCACCUCACAUACCUCUUGGCCCUGAGGCCACUGAGGAUGAACGUGCUAAGUAUGACAAGCACGUUGAGGAUGAUACACAAGCUAAGUGCUAUAUGUUGGCUUCCAUGAAUGAGGAGCUGCAGAGACAGCAUGAGGGUAUGGAUAGUGCAUCAUCCAUCAUACUCCAUCUUACGAAGUUAUAUGGUGAAGGGACGCGCAAUCGUCGCUUCAGCACUGUCAGUGAACUUGUGAAGACCAAAAUGGUCAAGGGAGCCCCAGUGCAUCAACAUGUAUUGAAAGAUGAUUGGACUCAUUGAACAAUUGGAGAACCUAAGGACUCCACUUGACGGGGAAUUGGCCCAGGACUUCAUCUUGGCUUCUCUUUCUGAUUCAUUCUCGCAGUUCGUCAUGAACUACAACAUGAACAAGAUGGAUAGCAUUCUCUCUGAGUUACUAAACAUGUUAGUAACCGUUGAGAAGACUAUGAAGAAAGAGAAUGUUGUAGGGACUGCUGCAGUAGCCUACAACAAGCCAUCCACUUCCAAGGCUAAACCGAAAGGCAAAGGCAAAGGAAAGGAGAAGAAGUCACCCACUCCUAAGGCACAAGGAGGAGUGAAGAAAAAGAAGGCAAAGGAGCCCAAGGGGACUUGCCACCACUGUGGAAAGGACGGGCAUUAGAAGAGGAAUUGCAAGUUAUACCUUGCAUCUUUGAAGGAUAAGCCACAAGGUAUGGUUUUGUUCUUAUCUUCAAUUCUAAUUGUUAGAUCUUUUAAUCUUUAUAUUUGAUAUGAAAUGCUAAUCACUUAUGCAAUUGUAUGUAGGUGAUGGAGCCAAGUAGAAGAUGGAUAAGCAAAGAAAAGGAAUGGAAUGAAGGGUUCGGCCAUUAUCUUUUUGCUAACUACUUCGGAAGUUUGUUAGGCUUCAUAUGACGGAAGACCCACUUUUGGUGCCUAUAUGAAGGUAUAUAAUUAGUCUCUAAUGUAGGAGCUAAUUCUUUUGUAUUAAAAAAUUAUGAAUGUUUAACUUAUCAUAUCAAUGUAAUGUGAUGAAUGCCUUCUACUAAAUUUGUUCUUCAAAGUAGUAUUAUGAAUUGAAAAUUGUCUUGUUGUAUUCUAGUUGAGAUACAAGAAUGUAUCACUUAUAUAAUGCGAUAUCCAAGCUUUGGAUUUAUCAAUUAAGGAUAGAUCUUACAUGUUGGCCAUAGAUGGAUACAAUGAAUCUUUAGAUUUGGUUCCAAUUGCCUACAUAUGAGUUCUAUAUGAAUUGAGAAAGUCUAGAGAUUCCUUUCUUGAAGAAAAGGAAGAUCACAUUAUAAUGACAUAAGUAAUACAUAAGAAAAACGUUUCUUUUAUGGUUAUCACUUACUUAACCACAAUAACCAAGAUCACUCUUGGUUCAAUUAGUAGUUUCGAACAACUAAUUGGACAUUCUUAAAUUGUUUUAAGAAAUGUCAAAUAUGUUAGUGAUCAAACCAAUGAUGAAGUAUUUAAAUCUAUAAAAGGUUUAAAGACUUUAGUUACUUAAUAACAAGACAUGAGCUUAGUGGAGUUGGAACAAUAAGCUUAAAAGAUUCUAAGCUACUCCACAAUGUCCUCUACCCAUAUACUUCAUAAUUAUACACUAUGAAUGUAUAAUGCGAUUUCUCAUUAAGGUCAUGAGAAACAGUGGGAGGUGAGAAAAAGGAUAUAAACUUGAAUAUGAUUGGUUUAUAAGUUGUCUAAAAUUAAUAGUGCAUCACUAUUAUUAAUGAGUUUGUAAUUUUAAUUGUUAAAAGGUCUCAAACUCUUCGAAGUGUUAAAAUCGAUGUUGUGUAACAUUCUAAGAAUAAUCUAUGAAUGUUGGUUUCACCAACCUAGCAUAAAAUGGUUAUAUGUUGGGAGUUGUCCAUCAUUCUCUUUUACGAGAACAAGCUAAGUACAAAGCAAAUGGACAAGUUGAUGAAAUAAAAGGGAAUAGUUUCAAAAUGAGUCACAACAUAUAGUUUAACAACAAGACAAUCCGAUUUCGACACCUCAUGUAACUAUAAUGCUCUAUGUAGUUUUAAUAAGGAAUUAAAUCAACCACCUAGUCGGAAUGGUUGAAUUCCUAUAUCCUUAGUAGGAGCCAUGCUUCCACUAAUGAUUUGUAUAAUUCUUAUAUGACUACUUUAAAAGGUUUUAGUAUGAAUAAAACUAGAAAUAUGAUGUUUGACACCAUAUAGUUUAAAUGAAUGGACUUGAUAAAGUCACACAUAUCAAAUGGGAUUACUUGAGAAGGAAUUCUUUUGCAUAUGUUCGUUUAAAUAACUUGUGUUAGCUAGAGUUGUUGAUUGUCCAAAAUUGUUGAGACAUCAUCAAUAAGCUAAUGGAUCUUAAAGAUUGUUAAUAGAUCCAAGACAAGUUAGUGGGAGCUAUAUGCAUUCAAAUCAAGAAAAUAUAAGUGUUAUGUUUUCUUAAGGUUUCGAUUGAAUGCUUAGUUACAACAAGGUUAGUGGGAGUGAUGUUAUACUUUUGAGCAACAUAUUAUGAAUGAAGUCUAUUUGAUAGACGUAAUAAAUAUUGAUGUUACUCAAAAUGACAAAUUGUGACAAGGUCAAUUUUGAAGUACAGACUUAAAAUGGACUUAUUGAUACAGCAAGGUUGUCUCAAGAAUGUUGUAUAAGGAAAUUGAAUCUCAAACGUUGAAGAUAUGAGAAAGUAUUUCUACAUAUUUUAGAAAAAUUGCUUUCAUGACCCUUAUAAAGAAUAUGUCACAAAAUCACAAAAGGGACACAUGUAUGGACCUGUGAGAUGAUAUCCAAAAGUGAACAACCAUAAGGGUUGUCACUUUAAGAUAUUACUAUGGCCCAGGAUCAGAACCAUAGCAACUGAUAGAAUAUUAUUACCUUUGAGAAAGGAACAUCAGAGUGAGACUCUAGAAGUGUGCAUUCACUUGGGUUAUAAACCAAAGUGACAAUAACCCAUUUUAACAAAUGGGACUUCAUGGUGGAUGAAGUACUAAUCAUAUGAAAGUAUUGUUAGUAUGGUACUACAAUGGUCUCAAGGUUGGAGCAAAGUGUGUAUAAAGUAUACAAACGAAAUAUAUGUCGAUAUAUAUUAAAGUUUUAGAAACUGCUUCAAAAGGUGUUUCGAAUAGACGGGGUUCAUUUUGAACCAAUGAUUGAAUCCAAACCAUAAGGUCAUUAGUAGGAUACUACGACGUAAUGGGGCGAUAGCACAAGCCAUGGAAUCAAGGUCUCAUCAAAGUAUUUGAACACAAAGAAGAGACAACAUUAAAUGUUUUGGAAACAUUUAAUAAGUAAAUCCUUUUAUGUUAAAAGGAUUAAUGCAUAACCUAGUUAACCUACGAGCUCAAGUUCACUCGACUAACAUUUAUAAGAUGCAAAACUGAUUGACUUUAGUGCAAGUAGGAGAUUGUUGGAGAUAUGCCCUGAAAGUCAAUCUUUGGAAGAAACCUUUCAGGACAAUGUCUAUAUGUAUGGAAAACUCUAAUACAUCAAAAGGCAAAGUCACUCAUUAAGACUAUCUCAAUAAAUGAUAUACGUCUUAAAGAGUGAAUCCAUAGACAAUGGAUCGAUUGAAGAAGUAAUUUAAUGAUGUUAGACUGCAGAGACCUUCUUCACAUAACCAUGAUGUCCAAAAAGGUUCUUGGUCAUAGGAUUGUCGGAGGGACACUGACAAUACAUAGACCAGUACAUACUAUGUCCCAUUCCAAUGGGAAGGAUGGAAAGUCUCAUGCCAUUUGUGUAGUGACACUAAGACAAGUAUGUAGGUGCUCAUUAUGGGAAUGAGUUCACCGAACACAAUCAAAUAAGAGUACUUGCAUGGAGGUCUACUCACAUGUCAAGCAAGUAACUCUACUGGUUAGAAUAAUGUAAGUAAUCCUUUGACCUAAGACAUCAUAGUUGUCUUGGGGAUACGUUGCUGAUCAUUUGAUAAUGAGACAUAACCAUAUCUCAUCUUGGAUGUGUUCUAUGCAUUUUUGGGGUCAGUGAUUUAUUCUUAGAGGCAUGUGAAUGAUCAACAAGGGAUCUCUAAUCCUUGUUAUGAGAGGAUGAAUACUCUAAGAUAUGAUUUAGGAAUCUUCGGUCGAAGUAUCGAGUGUAAUGAUGGAAAGCGUUCCUAUACGACUCAAUAGAAUCAUAUAACUUGAUAUAAUCACAUUAGGGGUUUGACAUUAAAUAUCCAUACCCUAGUAAUGUGAUUGUGAGUAUUGUAUUAGAGAAGGACCGAAUUACAUUGAAAUUCCAACUGAAUAGGUUCUUCGAACAAAUUCUACAUUAGCUUGGGUAGCCACGAUAUAUGGUUAGAUGUCACUCAUGGCUUGUGAGUUCUUCUAGAUGAUUAAAUAAGUAUUCAUCAAAGAAGAAGGAGAAUUAAAAGUAAGUUUUAAUUUACUAAGUGAUUGGAUAAAUAAUAAUCAAUUGGAUUGAUACCAAUCACCUCAUUGCCUUGCUAAUUAGAACCUAAAAUGAUUGUACACCGAAACACUCUUGUGGUGAGACAACUAAAGGAUGAUGGAAUUAAUUAAUUGAAUUAAUUAAGUGUUAUGAUUAAUUAGAAAGUCUAAAGAAAUCAUAUAAACAAUAAAAGAUCGUUUAGGACUUAAAGAAAAGUUCAGGUUCAUUCGGGCCCAUUGGGCCCAAACGAAUUGCAUCCUUUUAUUCAAGCAUAGAAUGACUUGAGAUGAUGAAAGCCCAAAGUCCAAACCCACACUAUGGAGGCCGGCCAAUAUUAGUGAAAGGAGAGAGAGGGAGUCAAGUGGUUGACUCACUUCUUUGACAUUUAUAAAGGAAGUUUAUUGAAAAAGUUUUAUUAGGGUUUUUUGUGUGUUCUUUUCGACUAGAGAAAACAAAAGUCUCUCUCUCUCUACACACUACAUAGCCGGCCACCAUAAGGGAGAAAUAGCUAAUCAUAUUUUCUCAUUUUUGGUUAUUCCAACAUCCAUCUCACUACACUAGUGGGUGUGGAUCUUUAGAGGUCUUCUACUUUGGAGACUAGAGGAGAAUCAAAGGAGCUCUAAAUCUAUCAAGGUGGAGGAAGCAAGGAGGGAGGCAAGACUCAAGGAGUUCCAAGAAGAAAGAGCUUGGAGGUGAUCCAUCAUUGGUCUCAAGUCUAGAUCAUGAGGUAUAAAACUAUACCUUCACUUUGUUCUUUAAUAUUUUCUUAGAUGCAUCAUAUAUGAACCUAUGCUUCUUGAAGGGGAUUUGCAUGACUAUAGCUUUGAUAUUAUGUGAUUACAUGCUUCCGUUGCAAAUGUAUAUAAAUUUUGAAUUGUAUAUGCAUGCUAGUCAUUAGAAAUCCCACAUAAAUCUCAUUAUUUCCCUUCAUUUUGAGGACGUAAUCCUGUUGGGAGUCUGGCUCUUGAGAUUCGGAGAGCAGUGCCUCUUCGAUUUUUUAGCAAGCAAUCUUGUUGGGAGUGUUUUCUUGAAUGUGAGUAAAGGUUGGGCAUUUUUA